AGUGAACGCUGGCGGUAGGCCUAACACAUGCAAGUCGAACGGCAGCACAGGAGAGCUUGCUCUCUGGGUGGCGAGUGGCGGACGGGUGAGGAAUACAUCGGAAUCUACUUUUUCGUGGGGGAUAACGUAGGGAAACUUACGCUAAUACCGCAUACGACCUACGGGUGAAAGCAGGGGACAUUCGGGCCUUGCGCGAUUGAAUGAGCAGAUGUCGGAUUAGCUAGUUGGCGGGGUAAAGGCCCACCAAGGCGACGAUCCGUAGCUGGUCUGAGAGGAUGAUCAGCCACACUGGAACUGAGACACGGUCCAGACUCCUACGGGAGGCAGCAGUGGGGAAUAUUGGACAAUGGGCGCAAGCCUGAUCCAGCCAUACCGCGUGGGUGAAGAAGGCCUUCGGGUUGUAAAGCCCUUUUGUUGGGAAAGAAAUCCAGCUGGUUAAUACCCGGUUGGGAUGACGGUACCCAAAGAAUAAGCACCGGCUAACUUCGUGCCAGCAGCCGCGGUAA
rnacentral:rRNA from 1 species